rnacentral:rRNA from 1 species
GACGAACGCUGGCGGCGUGCUUAACACAUGCAAGUCGAACGGAAAGGCCCUGCUUUUGUGGGGUGCUCGAGUGGCGAACGGGUGAGUAACACGUGAGUAACCUGCCCUUGACUUUGGGAUAACUUCAGGAAACUGGGGCUAAUACCGGAUAGGAGCUCCUGCUGCAUGGUGGGGGUUGGAAAGUUUCGGCGGUUGGGGAUGGACUCGCGGCUUAUCAGCUUGUUGGUGGGGUAGUGGCUUACCAAGGCUUUGACGGGUAGCCGGCCUGAGAGGGUGACCGGCCACAUUGGGCCUGAGAGACGGCCCAGACUCCUACGGGAGGCAGUAGUGGGGAAUAUUGCACAAUGGGCGGAAGCCUGAUGCAGCAACGCCGCGUGCGGGAUGACGGCCUUCGGGUUGUAAACCGCUUUCGCCUGUGACGAAGCGUGAGUGACGGUAAUGGGUAAAGAAGCACCGGCUAACUACGUG